rnacentral:tRNA from 1 species
GAGAAAGUCAUAAAGGUUGUGGGGUUGAUUUGAAAUCAGUCUUAGGUGGUUUAAUUCCUCCCUUUCUUG